UGGGGAAUUUUGGACAAUGGGGGAAACCCUGAUCCAGCCAUCCCGCGUGUGCGAUGAAGGCCUUCGGGUUGUAAAGCACUUUUGGCAGGAAAGAAACGUCAUGGGUUAAUACCCCGUGAAACUGACGGUACCUGCAGAAUAAGCACCGGCUAACUACGUGCCAGCAGCCGCGGUAAUACGUAGGGUGCAAGCGUUAAUCGGAAUUACUGGGCGUAAAGCGUGCGCAGGCGGUUCGGAAAGAAAGAUGUGAAAUCCCAGAGCUCAACUUUGGAACUGCAUUUUUAACUACCGGGCUAGAGUGUGUCAGAGGGAGGUGGAAUUCCGCGUGUAGCAGUGAAAUGCGUUGAUAUGCGGAGGAACACCGAUGGCGAAUGCAGCCUCCUGGGAUAACACUGACGCUCAUGCACGAAAGCGUGGGGAGCAAACAGG
rnacentral:rRNA from 1 species